rnacentral:rRNA from 1 species
AGUGAGCGAAUCCCAAAAAGUGCGUCGUAGUCCGGAUUGGAGUCUGCAACUCGACUCCAUGAAGUCGGAAUCGCUAGUAAUCGUGGAUCAGAAUGCCACGGUGAAUACGUUCCCGGGCCUUGUACACACCGCCCGUCACACCAUGGGAGUGGGCUGCAAAAGAAGUAGGUAGUUUAACCUUCGGGAGGACGCUUACCACUUUGUGGUUCAUGACUGGGGUGAAGUCGUAACAAGGUAGCGCUAGGGGAACCUGGCGCUGGAUCACCUCCUUAAACGAUGAU